rnacentral:lncRNA from 1 species
CUCUUUCCAUCUGGGGCAUAGUGGGCAGCAAGUGUUGUAGGGGAGUAGCCUUUGAUCCUUUGUUACUGGGGCGUAGGGAAAUGGUUUUUUUUUUUUUCUUUUUUGAUCCAGCUUUAGGAAGUUAGCACAAAUCGGCUUUAGGUUCCCUGACCCCAGACCCAGGUGUUUCUUGAUCCAGCUUUAGGACGUUAGCACAAAUUAGCCUUAGGCUACCUGCCCCCAGACCCCGGUAUUUUCGUUUUUAUGAUCCAGCUUUAGGAAAUUAGCGGGAAUUGGCUCUCAAUUCCCUGCCUCCAGACCUUAUUCUCCUGCCUCAAGAUCUCUGAGAUAGCUGUGGUCGAAUGGAAGGGAGAAUUCAACCCUGCAAGUUAGGAGACCAUUGCUAGUACUGGUUCAGUCACUAAGGACCUGUGGUGGUAUUGCAGAAUGUCCCUUCACCAACGGUUCCUCUGUUUGUACGGUAAGUCCCAUCAUGUCUAUGGACUUCAGUUUCCAGACAUGAAACACAAGAGGCUUGGACGAGAUUAGAAAUCAAGAACUCGAAUGCGUAUGGUCAGAGCCACGAGAGUUUCCAUAAAGGAACACAACCAUGUGGACAACUUGAUUAUGCCCUACAAAACUGAAUUCCUGUGAGCAUUCCUCUUCAAGAUGGAAGAAAAAGGGAAUAUUUCACAACCCCAAUGGUGAAACGUCUGCCUAUAGCCAACAAUACAAUCUCCAUCCAUGUAUGAUGUGACUUGCUCCUACAUGCCUUCCACCAUGAUUAUGAGGCCUCCUGAGCCAUGUGGAACUGUAAGUCUGUUAAACCUCUUUUUCUUCCCAGUCUUGGGUAUGUCUUUAUCAGCAGUGUGAAAAUGGACUAAUACAAGAUAUAUUAAAGAAUACUCAACAUCACUAAUCAUCA